rnacentral:rRNA from 1 species
GUGCCAGCCGCCGCGGUAAUACCGGCAGCCCGAGUGAUGACCGAUCUUAUUGGGCCUAAAGCGUCCGUAGCUGGCUACGCAAGUCCGUCGGGAAAUCCACUCGCUCAUCGAGUGGGCGUCCGACGGAAACUGCACAGCUUGGGACCGGAAGGCUCGAAGGGUACGUUCGGGGUAGGAGUGAAAUCCCGUAAUCCUGGACGGACCGCCGAUGGCGAAAGCACGUCGCGAGAACGGAUCCGACAGUGAGGGACGAAAGCCAGGGUCUCGAACCGGAUUAGAAACCCUGGUAGUCC